UAAUGUGCAAGUUUGAAGGAGCAAGUGUCAGGUGACAUGAGAUGAGAUUUGAAAGUCCGAGGAGUUGGAACUCUGUUGAUAAGAAACAAAUUGUAUUUGCCUAAGGGUAAUGAAGCUGUGAAAAAGGAAAAUUUCUUGAUGAGGCUCACAUUUUAGCGUAUGUUAUGCAUGCUGGUAGUACUAAAUUGUACCACUGUUUUCGUCCAUUUUAUUACUCGUAUUGUAUGAAUUGGAUAUUGUUGAAUAUGUGAGGAAAUGUCUGAUUUACUAGUAAGUGGAAGCGGAAAGAUGGAAGUUAUCAAACUUAUCUCAAUUUCUCUUUAUUCCUGUUUGGAGGUGGGAAGAAAUUUCCAUGGUUGUCUAUUUUAUUUGUCGACGACCCUUUGGGGAUGCGAAUGGAAACAGGUAAAUGCCACCAUAGAUUUUCUAUACAAACAACCUUGUACACGUGGAGACUAUGAUGACGUUUCUGUAUUGGUUGAUCAACUCACUUAGCAUAUUAUCUACCAGUCCGUGAGGACUAUACUUUCGACCGCUUGGCAUAAUUCUUCAUUCUAGACUUUGUUAGACUGACGUCUCGAUUAAUAUCAAUUUCGACUAUAAUCCCAGAUUCACCUCAUGGUACUGGAAGGAAUUCUAGUCAACCUUGAGUUCGUGUUUACCCUACAACACUUUGUAUCAUUUAUAAAGCAGACAGACUGUUUAGGAAAACCACUCAAGUUUGAAAGUUUUAGCAGAAACCAUUAGUCAUUCAAUCACCUAUUAAUACCUUAUUGGGCGAAUCAUUACCACUGGUUAUUGAAUAUCCCUAAGGUUAUCGUUGUAAAAAGUUGUUGUGAAUAUUAGAAUGGGAAAAAGUCUAAGUUCUUGCCUGUCAGAUUACUUUAGACUACCAAUCGAGUCGACUCUGCACUUAACCAUCUCAACUUGUCACCACAUAAGCAAGUUAGGUACUCACAUGUGUUCUUGCAUCAAAGUUACGUAUUCAAUCCAAUUAUCUUGUACCCUAGAUUUGAUGGACUUGAUUUGACCCUUAAAUUCUUGAGUGUUCUUUUAGCCUUCUCGACAUAGCCUUUCAUUAAAUUCGAGAGAAAAUUUCAAUAAAUCAGCUCGCUUAGGAUUUGUGAAUCACAUUGUUCGGUUAUAGGGUGUGCCAUCACUAUUGUACCUCAUUGGGAUACGCCGUUUCACUUCCAAGUCUUGUGAAGCCUUCUCGAAGGCCAUGGGUACUAAGUUGUUGGCCAGUACCACAUUUCAUUCUCAAAUUGUUGCCUAGUCUGAACAAACUAUCCAGACCUUGGAAGAAGUGGUGUGUUCAUCCAUUUUGUGGUUUUAGCAUGAUUAGAAAUUGCACUGUUCCCUAUUGGAAUUGUUUAUGAUGACAAUUAUUAUUUUCGAUUUGGGUAUGGUGAUGUGAAAAUUACUUGACACACAAAUUAAACCCUCUUUUUGACAAUUGUAGUAUAGAUGUAAGUAGGGUAUC
rnacentral:lncRNA from 1 species